GUCCACGCGGUAAACGAUGCGGACUAGGCGUGGGGGGAGUUGACCCCCUCCGUGCCGGAGCUAACGCGGGAAGUCCGCCGCCUGGGGAGUACGGCCGCAAGGCUAAAACUCAAAGGAAUUGACGGGGGCCCGCACAAGCGGCGGAGCGUGCGGUUUAAUUCGACGCAACGCGCAGAACCUUACCAGGGCUUGACAUGCUCCUGCAGAGCCGUGAAAGCGGUUGGCCUUCGAGGGUGGAGCACAGGUGCUGCAUGGCUGUCGU
rnacentral:rRNA from 1 species